GUUCAAGUUAAUGAAGCUGUGAAACAGGUGAGAGUGGUACAUACCGUGGGAAUAAAUGGAAUUCCCUGUGAUUAUGUUGGCUGCAGCAUGGUUUUCAGGGCUCCCAAAUAGCACAAGUACAAUGGAUGCCCACGGCUGCGUUCAGCUGCAGCGGCUGGCACGCUGAGGGACUGGGCACCAGAGGAAACAUCUCAAGUGGAAAAAUGUCACUGCUGAGGGAAGUAGUCUCUUUUAAUCUUUUUAAAAGCCUGGGAGACCUUGCUCGUGAGACCAGCAUGCAACACCAGGGGAAAGGGAAGCUGAAACAAUGGGAGGUCACCAGACAAAGAACAGGAAGAGGCUUGGAAGGAAUUUAUGGUCUUGAUUCUAAGAUGCACAUUUUUAUUUCAUGUUUCAAUACUGCAGAUGUUGAGAAGUAUCUCACAAUUGCUA